rnacentral:rRNA from 1 species
AUGCCGAAUUUCUCUACCAUUUUCUUCUUUUUCACUUUAGCCAAUAUGAGUUUACCCGGCACUAGCAGCUUUAUCGGGGAAUUUCUAAUCUUAGUAGGAGCUUUCCAAAGAAAUAGCUUAGUAGCCACAUUAGCUGCGCUUGGGAUGAUUUUAGGCGCGGCGUAUUCCCUUUGGCUAUAUAAUCGUGUGGUUUCUGGAAAUUUAAAACCCGAUUUCCUCUAUAAAUUCUCCGAUCUAAAUGGCAGAGAAGUUUCCAUAUUUCUACCUUUUCUUGUUGGAGUUGUUCGGAUGGGUGUUCACCCCAAAGUGUUCCCGGACUGCAUGCAUACAUCCGUAAGUAACUUAGUGCAACAUGGCAAAUUUCAUUGA